rnacentral:tRNA from 1 species
GCAUUGGUGGAAUGGUGCUGAGCUCAGCUGCCUUCCAAGCACUUGACCUGGCUUCAAGUCCUGGCCAAUGCA